rnacentral:lncRNA from 1 species
CGGAAUCUUACUGAGCUGCAGGAGCGCUCUGUCUCUGUCUCUCCUUUUCCUCUCUCCCUGCCCUCCCAUCUCUUCUUCUCUCUGUCUUUCUCCUCUCUUUCCUUUUCUCUCCCCUUCCCUCUUCCUCUCUCCAUCUCUGUGUGUGUGUGUCCCCCCCGCCCCCGGCAUUAACCGAUAUCCCCAACCUCACCUGCUGUUUUGGAGACCAGCCUCUCCGAGCCCGGGCAGCUGGGAGUGUCCCCCCGCCAGGCCCUUCGGAGGAGCCCGGGUUGCCCGCUCUCGCUCCCCUCCCGCAGUGCAUUGUUAUGCAGCCCCCUUUGUUCCGAGUUCCAGCCCGUUUCUCUCCACCUCGGAACCGCUUUGGGGCUUGGCCUGCCUCUCGCCAGCUUAUCCUCUGCGCGGCUCUGAGUGUGGCGCCGGCCGUCAGUAUUCCCCGGAUGCCUAAAGAGUUAGUACGGGUAGAAAUUGCCCAGCACGUUAGGGGUGUGGACGCGGUGUGUAGGAAGUCUCCCUGCUUUCCACAGCCCCCGAGUUGGGAGAAAUGACAAUUUGCUUUUCUCCAAAGGUAAACAGAGGCAAGAUCGUAAUGGUUCUGAUACCUGAUUAGCAUGGAACUGUGUACUUCAGGCUGGCCUUGAGCUUACUAUGUAGUAUAGGGUUGGCCUCGAAGGAGAUCCUCCUACUUCAGCCUCCCGAGUGCUGGGAUUACAGAAUUCUUAUGGAAAAAGGAGGAAGUAUUACAUGAAGAUAACUGAGAAUUAUAUUCAGAUAUAUACAUAAAAUUUGUUUUUGACUGGACAAUCUAAAAAAUGGUACAAAAUUCUUUUCUUUUUUUUUUUACAUUGUUAAUACAGCUUUUGCUGUUUAUGCCACUGUCUCCCAGAGCUAGCUUUCUCGACCCUGUGCCUUAGUGCUUAAAAAGGAAUAGUUGUAAAGAAGCAAGCAAAAAAUACAGACUCUCUUCCCUCUUCAGUUAGUGCAGCCAGUAUGGAAAGAUAUUUAUUGGGAAAUUAAGCAAAAGUAUAACUAGGUCAGGCCCGGAGCUCAGUGGUUCCGGCACCAGCCUUGCAAGCACAAGGUCCCGAGUUCGAUCCCUGGUACCAAAAAAAAAAAAAAGUAUAGCUAGG